rnacentral:rRNA from 1 species
AACGGGUGAGUAAUACAUAGGUAACCUGCCCUAGACAGGGGGAUAACUAUUGGAAACGAUAGCUAAGACCGCAUAGGUACGGACACUGCAUGGUGACCGUAUUAAAAGUGCCUCAAAGCACUGGUAGAGGAUGGACUUAUGGCGCAUUAGCUGGUUGGCGGGGUAACGGCCCACCAAGGCGACGAUGCGUAGCCGACCUGAGAGGGUGAACGGCCACAUUGGGACUGAGACACGGUCCAAACUCCUACGGGAGGCAGCAUG